rnacentral:rRNA from 1 species
UACGUAGGGGGCGAGCGUUGUCCGGAAUUACUGGGCGUAAAGGGCGCGCAGGCGGUUAUGUAAGUCUGCUGUGAAAAGCAUCGGCUCAACCGGUGUCUUGCGGCGGAUACUGCAUGGCUUGAGUACUGGAGAGGGAAGUGGAAUUCCCGGUGUAGCGGUGAAAUGCAUAGAUAUCACGAGGAACUCCGAUUGCGCAGGCAGCUUACUAAACCAUAACUGACGCUCAGGCACGAAGGCGUGGGGAUCAAACAGGAUUAGA